GAUGAACGCUGGCGGCGUGCCUAAUACAUGCAAGUCGAGCGAAGCGGGGACGGGUGAGUAACACGUGGAUAACCUCCUUUAAGACUGGGAUAACUUCGGGAAACCGGAGCUAAACCGGAUACUUAUCGAUGGAUCCGCGCUGCAUUAGCUAGUUGGUAAGGUAACGGCUUACCACGGCAACGAUGCAUAGCCGACCUGAGAGAGUGAUCAGCCACACUGGAACUAAGAAACGGUCCAGACUCAUACGUGAGGCAGCAGUAGUGAAUCUUCCACAAUGGGCGAAAGCCUGACGAAGCAACGCCGCGUGAAUGAUGAAGGUCUUCGGAUCGAAAAACUCUGUUAUUGGGGAAGCGGUACCUAAUCGGAAAGCCACGGCUAACUACGUGCCAGCAGCCGCGGUAAUAC
rnacentral:rRNA from 1 species